UACUAGAGUGGCUGAAAUAUAGGUAAUAAAUUGUAAAUUUAUUUAUGAAUUAAAAUUCUUCUAGUAAC
rnacentral:tRNA from 1 species